UGGGGAAUUUUGGACAAUGGGCGAAAGCCUGAUCCAGCAAUGCCGCGUGUGUGAAGAAGGCCUUCGGGUUGUAAAGCACUUUUGUCCGGAAAGAAAUCCUUGGCUCUAAUACAGUCGGGGGAUGACGGUACCGGAGGAAUAAGCACCGGCUAACUACGUGCCAGCAGCCGCGGUAAUACGUAGGGUGCAAGCGUUAAUCGGAAUUACUGGGCGUAAAGCGUGCGCAGGCGGUUUGCUAAGACCGAUGUGAAAUCCCCGGGCUCAACCUGGGAACUGCAUUGGUGACUGGCAGGCUAGAGUAUGGCAGAGGGGGGUAGAAUUCCACGUGUAGCAGUGAAAUGCGUAGAGAUGUGGAGGAAUACCGAUGGCGAAGGCAGCCCCCUGGGCCAAUACUGACGCUCAUGCACGAAAGCGUGGGGAGCAAACAGGAUUAGAUACCCUGGUAGUCCACGCCCUAAACGAUGUCAACUAGUUGUUGGGGAUUCAUUUCCUUAGUAACGUAGCUAACGCGUGAAGUUGACCGCCUGGGGAGUACGGUCGCAAGAUUAAAACUCAAAGGAAUUGACGGGGUCAUAGCUGUUUCCU
rnacentral:rRNA from 1 species